rnacentral:lncRNA from 10 species
GGCAGGCCUCCUUGAGCUGUGGUGGGCUCCACCCAGUUCGAGCUUCCUGGCUGCUUUGUUUACCUAAUCAAGCCUGGGCAAUGGCGGGCGCCCCUCCCCCAGCCUCGCUGCCGCCUUGCACUUUGAUCUCAGACUGCUGUGCUAGCAAUCAGCGAGACUCCGUGGGUGUAGGACCCUCCGAGCCAGGUGCGGGAUAUAAUCUUGUGGUGUGCCAUUUUUUAAGCCCAUCGGAAAAGCGCCGUAUUCGGGUGGGAGUGACCCGAUUUUCCAGGUGCCAUCUGUCACCCUUUUCUUUGACUCAGAAAGGGAACUUGCUGACCCCUUGCGCUUCCCAAGUGAGGCAAUGCCUCGCCCUGCUUCGGCUCACGCACAGUGCGCCCACCCACUGACCUGCGCCCACUGUCUGGCACUCGCUAGUGAGAUGAACCCGGUACCUCAGAUGGAAAUGCAGAAAUCACCCGUCUUCUGCGUCGCUCAGGCUGGGAGCUGUAGACCAGAGCUGUUCCUAUUCGGCCAUCUUCUGGUGCUACAUUUUAAAAGAGAAAGAAAAACUACAUAUACAGUAAGACAUUCUGUGCUGGGAGGAGAGCAGAGGAUCCAGGGAGCAGAUUGCAGGGAGCUUCACUGAAGCAAGAUGACCGUGAUGCUGGAGAAGAGCCCUUGAGAUGGAACAGAAAUUCUAUGGCAGUACUGGCUGUGCCUGAGAAACCUCCUGCCACUCAAGCCCAGCAAGAAUUAAAAUUCCUGCUCAUAAAGAAGAAUAUUUCUGAAAAGACCUGAGGAGCAGCCUUCUCGUCAUUGGCAUCAGUGCAAUACUGAAUGACAGAUUAGAGAGAGGAUCUUCAGAGAUUAUUACUGCGAUUCUCAAGUAACAGCAUGGCUGGGAAACACCAACCCUGGUCCCAUACUGCCUACGUUUACAUUAAUGCCACCACUUUGUGGCUGUGCAACAAUGGGCAAGUUAUUGAAUCUUCUUUUUCAUCACUUGUGAUAUGAAGAAAACAUUAUAUCUACUUCCAAAGAUUGUUGGGAAGAAUUAACAAGCUAUGCACUUUCAUUGUAAAAGUGCCUGGAUCAAAGGACUCACUCAAUACGUGCUAAUAGCUAUUUUUUAAUUUGCACGUAAGAAGACUGAGGUUCACCAAGGGCAAGAUAUCUCCUCCAAAGUCACAUUACAAAUUAGGGGAUGAAUCCAUACUAAGAAAUAGGUUUCUAAAUAAUCACUUUUUAACCAUUCUCCAUUUGUCUGUGACACUUCACUUACAAUCUAAAAUAUCCUUUGCCCUUAUGAACUUCACAAAAUAAUCCUUCAUCCUGAAAAUAAAUAUAUCUCUGCUCCAGCUAUAUUUGGGUAUAUUGGUUAUAAUCUUAAAGAGAACAAAGUCCAGUGGUAAAUAUUGAUGAGGAAACAGAGUUUUCUACACCUUGUGGCUGGUGUUAUAACAAAAUAUGAAAAUGGAAGUCCCAGUAAGGACUGUAGUGGUUCCU